rnacentral:rRNA from 1 species
AGUGAACGCUGGCGGUAGGCCUAACACAUGCAAGUCGAACGGCAGCACAGUAAGAGCUUGCUCUUACGGGUGGCGAGUGGCGGACGGGUGAGGAAUACAUCGGAAUCUACUUUUUCGUGGGGGAUAACGUAGGGAAACUUACGCUAAUACCGCAUACGACCUACGGGUGAAAGCAGGGGAUCUUCGGACCUUGCGCGAUUGAAUGAGCCGAUGUCGGAUUAGCUAGUUGGCGGGGUAAAGGCCCACCAAGGCGACGAUCCGUAGCUGGUCUGAGAGGAUGAUCGGCCACACUGGAACUGAGACACGGUCCAGGCUCCUACGGGAGGCAGCAGUGGGGAAUAUUGGACAAUAGGCGCAAGCCUGAUCCAGCCAUACCGCGUGGGUGAAGAAGGCCUUCGGGUUGUAAAGCCCUUUUGUUGGGAAAGAAAAGCAGCAGGUUAAUACCCCGCUGUUCUGACGGUACCCAAAGAAUAAGCACCGGCUAACUUCGUG